AGAGUUUGAUCAUGGCUCAGAUUGAACGCUGGCGGCAUGCCUUACACAUGCAAGUCGAACGGCAGCGCGGGAGCAAUCCUGGCGGCGAGUGGCGAACGGGUGAGUAAUAUAUCGGAACGUGCCUUAGAGUGGGGGAUAACUAGUCGAAAGACUAGCUAAUACCGCAUACGACCUACGGGUGAAAGUGGGGGAUCGCAAGACCUCAUGCUCUUAGAGCGGCCGAUAUCUGAUUAGCUAGUUGGUGGGGUAAAAGCCUACCAAGGCGACGAUCAGUAGCUGGUCUGAGAGGACGACCAGCCACACUGGGACUGAGACACGGCCCAGACUCCUACGGGAGGCANCAGUGGGGAAUUUUGGACAAUGGGGGCAACCCUGAUCCAGCAAUGCCGCGUGUGUGAAG
rnacentral:rRNA from 1 species